UGUCUGACUUGCUUUGCAAUAACAUUUUUGGUUUUAAACUCAGUGUGUCAUUGCUUAUGAACUUAGAGGGGGGAGAAGAAUGGUGUCACACAAUCAAAACCUAAAACUUCCAGUUUGUGGCUCUACUUCAUGAGGUUGGCUGGAGCUCAAUCCACUUUUUCCCAUAUCCGGACUUCAGGAGCUCUUGUCUGACCACAAGCCUUUCUCUUCAUGCUCCUAAGUAAGAGAAGAGUAUCAUCCUAGUGUUAACUGUAUCUGAAGUAAAUUUUGUAAUUCUGAUACUGGCAACAUUAUUUUAGUACUGUGUUAGCCCAGUAAAAUAAAUAAAAUCAUGUAGGAGAACAUGUAUAUCUUUCAUCACUAUUGUCUUAGUUUUAAUACAAGCAUUUAUGUUGGCUGAGGUUAAUCUAUAACACAAGUUAGAACAAGUAAAAAUUGAUUCAGUGAGCAGCUUUAUGAUGCAGUUUGUGUCUUAAAAAAAAUGUGUGUGAGAUACGAUAAGUGGUCACUGCUGAUACUGCAUUAAUGGCUCUGUUAAGUUAGCUGUGUCUGCUAGCUAGUGAAUCCUGGCACAUACCUUGUGCAUUACUGUAGGUGUCUGUACAAGACAUACAAAAACUGGUUUUGAUUGGAAUGUCUUACCAAUCAGGUGAUAGGCUAUGUACAGAAAUUAAAGGAAAUUGGAGUAGCAAUGAAGCUUUGUCAUAAUUGAAACAAAAUUUGAUUAGGAUAGUUUAGUAAAUGAAUAGCAGAAUCCUGGGGGUGUUGGUAACACUUCAAAACAUGCAAGAACUUUGGACAAACAAAACAAAACUGUUAAACAUGAUGUAAAUAAAUGUCAGUGUUGUAUGUGUUCCGAAGAAAUAGGACUCUCCUCACCAACAUAAGAAAAAUUACACUUCUGUGAAAGUGCUUUUUUAUAGAAACCUACCUGUAGUAGCUGUAAUUCUGCUGAUACAAUAAUGAUUGCCUGGUUUGAUUUUGUGUUUUGGGGGGAAUUCCCAAUUUGUCUGCGUAACUGAUUCUGGCUGAUUGCUUUCUUUGUAAAUCUUCUAUAUUUUAAUGUUGUUAAUGAAGAUGAUGUGUGGUUGUUGUUUUUUUUUUUUUUUCCUGUGGUAGGGUUCUUUUGUAUUUGUUUUUACUGUAAGUAUUAAAAUCUGGAAUUUUAAGCUGA